rnacentral:rRNA from 1 species
UACGGAGGGUGCAAGCGUUAUCCGGAUUCACUGGGUUUAAAGGGUGCGUAGGUGGGCAGGUAAGUCAGUGGUGAAAUCUCCGGGCUUAACUCGGAAACUGCCAUUGAUACUAUCUGUCUUGAAUACCGUGGAGGUCAGCGGAAUAUGUCAUGUAGCGGUGAAAUGCUUAGAUAUGACAUAGAACACCAAUUGCGAAAGCAGCUGGCUACACGAAUAUUGACACUGAUGCACGAAAGCGUGGGGAUCAAACAGG